rnacentral:rRNA from 1 species
AUUGAACGCUGGCGGCAUGCCUUACACAUGCAAAUCGAACGGUAACGGGCCUUCGGGUGCCGACGAGUGGCGCACGGGUGAGUAAUACAUCGGAACGUGCCCGAUCGUGGGGGAUAACGAGGCGAAAGCUUUGCUAAUACCGCAUACGAUCUACGGAUGAAAGCAGGGGACCGCAAGGCCUUGCGCGGACGGAGCGGCCGAUGGCAGAUUAGGUAGUUGGUGGGAUAAAAGCUUACCAAGCCGACGAUCUGUAGCUGGUCUGAGAGGAUGAUCAGCCACACUGGGACUGAGACACGGCCCAGACUCCUACGGGAGGCAGCAGUGGGGAAUUUUGGGCAAUGGGCGCAAGCCUGAUCCAGCCAUGCCGCGUGCAGGAUGAAGGCCUUCGGGUUGUAAACUGAUUUUGUACGGAACGAAAAGCCUUCUUUUAAUACAGGAGGGUCAUGACGGUACCGGAAGAAUAAGCACCGGCUAACUACGUG